GUUUCCGUAGUGUAGCGGUUAUCACGUGUGCUUCACACGCACUAGGUCCCCGGUUCGAUCCCGGGCGGAAACA
rnacentral:tRNA from 1 species